rnacentral:rRNA from 1 species
UGAGGAAUAUUGCGCAAUGGGGGAAACCCUGACGCAGCCAUGCCGCGUGAGUGAAGACGGCCUUAGGGUUGUAAAGCUCUUUCAGAUGCGAAGAUAAUGACGGUAACAUCAGAAGAAGCCCCGGCUAAAUUCGUGCCAGCAGCCGCGGUAAUACGAAUGGGGCGAGCGUUGUUCGGAAUCACUGGGCGUAAAGCGUAUGCAGGCGGAUUGGGAAGUCAGACGUGAAAUCCCGGGGCUCAACCCCGGAACUGCGUUUGAAACUCCCAGUCUAGAGUCCCGGAGGGGCCAGCGGAAUUCCGAGUGUAGAGGUGAAAUUCGCAGAUAUUCGGAGGAACACCAGUGGCGUAGGCGGCUGGCUGGACGGGAACUGACGCUCAGAUACGAAAGCGUGGGGAUCAAACAGGAUUAGAUACCCCCGUAGUCC